rnacentral:rRNA from 1 species
AGUAAUGUCUGGGAAACUGCCUGAUGGAGGGGGAUAACUACUGGAAACGGUAGCUAAUACCGCAUAAUGUCGCAAGACCAAAGUGGGGGACCUUCGGGCCUCAUGCCAUCGGAUGUGCCCAGAUGGGAUUAGCUAGUAGGUGGGGUAACGGCUCACCUAGGCGACGAUCCCUGGCUGGUCUGAGAGGAUGACCAGCCACACUGGAACUGAGACACGGUCCAG